GUUAUUACCCAUGCGAUACACAAUUAUCCCGCGUAUAAAAUGUUUGUUUAUUUAUCGUGUGUGAGAUCGUAGUAAUAUACUGAAAAGUCGCAUUUUUGCUUUUCAUUACUUCAAGAAGAGCAAUUCGCUCAUUUCCUUUGGGUGUGCUAAGGGAGAGGAUUGGAGUAUAUACACCAAAAUGUCUUCUCUUAUUCAGUUAAAACAAUAUUGGCUCGAGUGGCAGCCUACGGACCCGGCAAACAUUAUCGAAUCCCUCAGUGCGGACACCAGCGGAUUGAACGUUAUUCCAUGCAUUCGGUCCCGAUCAGGUAAUCAUUAAUUUUUUUCUGUAUUGCAUUUAAUUAUACAUUGCGUUUGGUUUUGCGUUGCGUUGUGUUUUGCGUUGCGUUGUGUUUCGAUUUCCGUUUCUGUUUGAUAUGAAGCGAGGUUUCUUAAAAUACUACAAAUCUACAACGUGACUUUCAUGCAUAAUUCUUUCUGUAUCGCAUUCUCGGGACUUUAUAAAUCGUGUUUGGUUUUGCGUUGCGUUGCGUUUGGAUUUAUAAUUCUAUAAUUAACAGGGGAGCUAUCGUUUGGUUUAGAAACGAGCGUGGUAUACAACUGAAGUUUCAAUUUAGUAUGGGUAGAUUUAAGCAAAAAGCGAGCCUAUAUACAUCGAUGAAGCGAGCUUUCUUAAGAUACAUCAAAUCCGUUGAUGGUUUUUAAAAUCUUUUAAGUUUAGUGUAAUAUAUAAGUUACUUUUGUGUUCGAAUUUUGAUUAUAUGUUCGGCUAAUUAUUUGGUCUUUAUCUCGCUGCCAAGGCUGACGUGCGGUGCUACGGACAAGUCAGUUUGCACCCAUAGGUCUUGCAGUAAUGAUAAUACCAUCUAUCUAUAUAUUGUUCAAGAAUGAAAUGGUCACGCAAGCAUGGAGUAUGAUUUCGUGAGUUUACUUCGUGAUUAGUGUAACUCCGUUUCAACAUUCCUUGCUUAGUUUUGUGAUAUUUCCUUCACCCGAAAAGCCUCUAAAACUCUAAACCCUAACCCUAACCCUAACCCUAA